GGCAAUGGCAGGGAAAUUCUGGAGGGGACCGGAGCUGUGUCCACUGAAAAGACUUCAGCGAGGACCCAAGGACCGCCUGGAGUGACAGAUCCAGAGGUCUUGUCCUGUCCUUAAGGGUGUACACACCGUCCCCUACAACGGCAGCUGCUACUGACAGCACAGACCGUGUCCCAGGGACUGUUGUAAGUGAAAAGGACAGUGAAAAAGAUGGAGACUUUACAUCUUUUACAUUUACCUGGAUGGAGUUGAAAUACAUUCUUCUUAGCAAAGUAUCUCAAGAAUGGAAAAAUAAAUAUCCAAUGUAUUCAAUACUAAUAUGAAACCAAUAUAUAAAAAAUUACACAUAUGAAUGAUAGAACACAAAUAUAGUGUAA